GGGGAUGACGUCAAGUCCUCAUGGCCUUUAUGACCAGGGCUACACACGUACUACAAUGGCAGGUACAAAGGGCAGCCACUUAGCGAUAAGGCGCGAAUCCCGUAAAACCUGUCUCAGUCCGGAUUGGAGUCUGCAACUCGACCCCAUGAAGUUGGAAUCGCUAGUAAUCGCAGAUCAGCACGCUGCGGUCGAAUACGUUCCCGGGCCUU
rnacentral:rRNA from 1 species